CAGUCCUGAUCGCAGUGAGCCUCGCACCCCGUGUCCUGUGCUUUGCAGGAGCGAACCGUUCCAUCUUCCAAGGCUAGCAGGUCAGCUGCCUUAUGAUCCGCAGUUGACAGAAGCAGAAACAGACACAGAGAGAGGCCAUAUGACCACCCCCGGUCCCUAAGGAAGGUGGCAGAGGGAGGAGUGGAACCCAGAAUCCACCCAAGAUAAGGCACAAGACCCCCGAGAAGAGCCACUGACUACAAGUGAGCAGAAACCCGGGCUUCUGGGUCCAGGUAGCAGAGGCAAAGCCAGAAGAAGACAAAUCAGGGACGACAUCGUCUCCAUGCCCCGUCUGCAGGGACUUUCUCCCUUGGACUGAAAUGGUGCCAAAAUGUAGCUGGACACUCCCUCUGAAGGACACCGAGGGCCACAGCUAGUGACGUGACUGCCACGGUUUUACAAGAGACCCGUCCGCCAAACCAGCUCUGCCCGGGCCCCUCGGGAGGCGGAGGCUGAGAAGGGUCCCCCUCUGCGCGCAGAAAGCAGCAGCCCACGGCAUUCAGAGGAGCGUUGCCACCAACGACCCCGCGCCUGAGCAGGACUGAGUGUGGCUCACACCACCUGCUCCCUGUCACGUCCCACCGGCCCCGUCCCGGGCUGCACCACGAACCACGAGCUGAGCAGCCUUGGCCAAGCGGCUGAUCCUCCCAGACCCAUGUUUCCGCAUCUACGAAGUGGAGGUAAUAACAGCUUCCACCUUACAGGGAGGCGUGCCCACUAAAUGCAGUAAUUCGUGUGAGGUUCCCAGGAGGCGCCCAGUAGGUGUCCGCUGAUAGAAUCGGGAUUUUUAUAAUUUCCGUGUCAUUCAUGUGUAUCUGUUUCCCCACCUGACUCAGAGCCCCUGGGGAAUGAGAAGCAGGUCUGGGUCACCGUUGUGUCCCCAGCACCCAGUGGAGGGCUUGGCAGGGAGGAGAAGCUCAGUGAUGUGGGGAGCACUGCUCGGCCAUUGGCACUCAGCCUGGACAGACGCUGUCCCACGCCCCCCCCCAAAGCCCUUCCUCAAACCGGCGUCCUCGAAGCUGGGCAGCCGCUGCUGGGCCCUUCCCUCAAGGCUUCGGUCCUCACCCUCGGGCGGCCAUCCACACUCGCCUGGGCCUGCUCCAGGGUCCUUUGCCUCUUAGGGGCCACAUGGGAGCCCACCGCGGUCCCCACCACCGGGAGCUGGGCUUUACAGACCCACAAGAGUCGGGAUUGCCAUGAGACCCCCUUCCUAGAGUCCUCAGGCUCAUCCUUGAAGGAGCCACACCAAAGCUGGGGGCAGUGAGGUGGGGGCUGCUUGAAACUCCAUUUGGCAGAUCUACACAUGAUAAAAUGGUGGAGACAGACAGACACACACACACACACACAGUACCAAUGUCAAUUUCCUGGUUUGGCUAUUGAAAGACACUUACACUAGUGUCACUUAUAUAAAUAUAAAUAUUAUAUAAAAAGGGGUGCCUGGGUGGCUCAGUGGGUUAAGCAUCCAACUCUUAAUUUUGGCUCAGGUCACAAUGUGACGGUCAUGGGAUCGAGUCCCCA